rnacentral:tRNA from 1 species
GGCCUCGUGGCUCAGUUGGUAGAGCCUACGCGGUAAUAACGCGUCAGUGGCGUUCAUGUGUGGGUUCGAUCUCCACCGGGGCCA